rnacentral:tRNA from 1 species
UGCAGGGUGGAGCAGCUCGGUAGCUCGCCAGGCUCAUAACCUGGAGGCCGGCGGUUCAAAUCCGCCCCCUGCAGCCA